GCAGUGAUGGUGGUUAGGUGGUGCUUACAUGUAACAGUUUGCAGCUGUGGUUCCCAUGGGCAAACUCUUGAGCCUGAUAAGGAGCCCUGCUGACAGCAAGAAGUCUCCUAGAUGUUAUGCAUGAAUACAAUCUGGAGUAGAAACUCAAUUGUCCUAUAAAUCAGAAAUUCCCCUGCUGAGUAAUCAUUUCUUUUCCAUGGAUCCAAGAUUACCUCCGCUCAUUUCUUUGUAGGCAGGGUAAGCAUUUGUCUCUCUUCCUUCAGCUGAGCUGCUGUGUGUGUCCAUCACUGGCACAUCAGGCAUCAGGAGA